rnacentral:rRNA from 1 species
CUUGCUCCCCGGGGGACGAGCGGCGGACGGUUUGAGUAAUGUCUGGGAAACUGCCUGAUGGAGGGGGAUAACUACUGGAAACGGUAGCUAAUACCGCAUAACGUCGCAAGACCAGAGAGGGGGACCUUCGGGCCUCUUGCCAUCAGAUGUGCCCAGAUGGGAUUAGCUAGUAGGUGGGGUAAUGGCUCACCUAGGCGACGAUCCCUAGCUGGUCUGAGAGGAUGACCAGCCACACUGGAACUGAGACACGGUCCAGACUCCUACGGGAGGCAGCAGUGGGGAAUAUUGCACAAUGGGCGCAAGCCUGAUGCAGCCAUGCCGCGUGUGUGAAGAAGGCCUUCGGAUUGUAAAGCACUUUCAGCGAGGAGGAAGGUGGUGAGCUUAAUACGCUCAUCAAUUGACGUUACUCGCAGAAGAAGCACCGGCUAACUCCGUGCCAGCAGCCGCGGUAAUACGGAGGGUGCAAGCGUUAAUCGGAAUUACUGGGCGUAAAGCGCACGCAGGCGGUUUGUUAAGUCAGAUGUGAAAUCCCCGGGCUCAAGCUGGGAACUGCAUUUGAAACUGGCAAGCUAGAGUCUCGUAGAGGGGGGUAGAAUUCCAGGGGUAGCGGUGAAAUGCGUACAGAUCUGGAGGGAAUACCGGUGGCGAAG